rnacentral:misc_RNA from 1 species
ACACCUCAACCCCCGUGGUUCGCCACGAUGGGCUUGGACUUUGGAGGUUUUGCUGGCCCCCCUGUGGUCGGCUCCUCUCAAAUGAAUCAGCUUACCAGUGUUUGGUGGCGUCGCAGGUGUGAUAACUAUCUACGCUUGUGACCGUCUGCCAUGCGACCUUUGACGAGGGUUUGCUGGGGCUUACAGAUGUCUUUCCCGAGUGAAGACAGCUUUUUGAUC